UACGUAGGGGGGCAAGCGUUGUCCGGAAUCAUUGGGCGUAAAGAGCGUGUAGGCGGCCCAGAUAGGUCCGUUGUGAAAACUCGAGGCUCAACCUCGAGACGCCGAUGGAAACCAUUUGGCUAGAGUCCGGAAGAGGAGAGUGGAAUUCCUGGUGUAGCGGUGAAAUGCGCAGAUAUCAGGAAGAACACCCGUGGCUAAGGCGGCUCUCUAGUACGGUACUGACGCUGAGACGCGAAAGCGUGGGGAGCGAACAGG
rnacentral:rRNA from 1 species